GUUAACCCGGGGCCAGCGGCGGGGGGAAGACAGGGGAGGCAAGCGUGACUCGGAAUUACUGGGGGUAAAGCGUCUGCAGGUUUUUCGGUACGUCUGGGGCUAAAUGACGGAGCCUAACUCCGUCACGGUACUGGAAACGACCGGGAUAGAGUCACUCAGAGGCAUCUGGAAUGCCGUGUGUAGGGGUAAAAUCCGUAGAUCCACGGUGGAACGCCAAAAGCGAAAGCAGGAUGCUGGGAGUGCACUGACACUCAGAGACGAAAGCGUGGGGAGCAAAGGGGAUUAGAUACCCUAGUAGUC
rnacentral:rRNA from 1 species